rnacentral:misc_RNA from 1 species
AUUUGGGGUAUACCUUUUCCUUUCCAAAAUUCAUAAAAAGAAAAACGAAAAAAAUUUUUUUUUUUCUUUUCCCUCCAAAAAAAGAAACUUCAAAAUAACUUGGUUCUAAAGGAAAUUUGGAACAUUUAUUUUCAGCCAAAAGGCCUUUUUAAAAAGAUAAAUAUAAAUAAGACUUUUCUCUGUCAUCAUUUAUAUGAAUUUGUGAAGGAAAAAGAUAUACCCAAUAUAUUGGUCUGAAAAAUCAAUAUAUUGGGUAAGGAAAGAAAUAUACUUAGGGGUCACUAAAAGCUCUUUAGUGGAUAAGAACACCCAAAGGGUCUCAAAAAUAUUUUUAUUGGGAUUUUUCUAUCUAUUGAGUGAGAAUAUCUAGUUGGUUUGGAAAACCAAUAUGGGUAAGGAAAAAAAGCAAUUGGCUUUCAAAAUCAAUAUUGUUAGGAACAAAAUAGUCAAUAUAUGGGUUUUAUUGACCGAUAUAUAUAUUGGGUA